UACGGAGGGGGCUAGCGUUGUUCGGAAUUACUGGGCGUAAAGCGCACGUAGGCGGCUUUGCAAGUUAGAGGUGAAAGCCCGGGGCUCAACUCCGGAAUUGCCUUUAAAACUGCAUCGCUAGAAUUGUGGAGAGGUAAGCGGAAUUCCCGAGUGUAGAGGUGAAAUUCGUAGAUAUUCGGAAGAACACCAGUGGCGAAGGCGACUUACUGGACACAUAUUGACGCUGAGGUGCGAAAGCGUGGGGAGCAAACAGG
rnacentral:rRNA from 1 species